GGACGCUUAGCUCAGUUGGUUAGAGCACCUGCUUCACACGCAGGGGGUCCGCGGUUCGAGUCCGCGAGCGUCCACCA
rnacentral:tRNA from 2 species